UUAUUAAUAAUAUUAUUAUUUAUUUAUUUAUUUCUCACACAGGCAUAGAGAUUUGGAGAUAUCAAAACUUCUGGCUGUCCUCAGAGGUGCUGGAGACACCCAAUGACCACUGAAUUCAGAAGUAUUUAUCUCUGGAUGAUCAGCUGGUAGCUGCUUGUUAUUUUGAACACAUGCUAUCCCAAUCUGCUAGCUGCACGCAUCCCCCUCUGGUUCUACUGGAAGAAAUGCAGAACUUUUACAUGUGUGUCAGCUUUACGAAACUUUUGAUGGUAAAGGUAACUCCCCUUCAGUUUCCCAGACCUUCGGAGUCACUCAGAUCUUCCUGCUCCAGGUGUACAGCCAUGUAGAAGCCUUGUGGCCAGAACAAAUUCUCAUCUGACUUAAUAAUGAAGGGAGGACACUGUUCAUACUAUUCCUCAUGGCUGGCAGAAAGUUUUUCCAUACAGUAUGGAGCCAGAAAAUUAACCUCCAGAGGGAGCCUCAUCUUCGCCAACGAUUUUGUAACAAGCAAGUGUUUAAAGCAACAAGACCCCAAAGGGAAAAUGCUCCAGCAACAGGGAGACCAUGUGUUCAGUGCUCUCCUCAACUACGCAGCCAGCUUCUGCUUUCCAUCACUUUGCACGUCAGUCAUGACCAGUUUAAAGCAAAUUUAUUAAUCCUGCUGUAUAAUUAAAACCCCAAUGUUGCAGUUGCGUAUUUACCCACAUCACAACUUGCAGUAAUCACAGUGCAUGGCAGAAUUUCUGGUGAUUGCUUUUUCCAAUCACAACCUUGAUUAGCAAUAUGCAGAUUUUACAGGUAUCAUUGAGACUAUGGGACAUGGAGGGACUGAAUAAGAUGUAGCACAGGACCAGCCUCCGAUGAGUUUUAGCACAAGGCAACAACUAAUUGACCCUGGGCAAGUCAGCCUCAUUCCAGGCAUCUAUAUACAAAGUGUUAUGUACCACAAGGCAGAGUAGAAAGCAGUCAGUUCUGUGUUACACACCGUUCUGACCAUUGCCAAAUGAAAAAUCCUAGGUAGUGUUAUUUCAGAUUCUAAUAAAUAUUUAUGUCAGCCAGCA
rnacentral:lncRNA from 1 species